GGCAUCAGAUUUGAAGUAAAGAUUUAUCGGUAAUGGAUGGGGAUGCGUCUGAUUAGCUUGUUGGCGGGGUAACGGCCCACCAAGGCAACGAUCAGUAGGGGUUCUGAGAGGAAGGUCCCCCACAUUGGGACUGAGACACGGUCCAAACUCCUACGGGAGGCAGCAGUGAGGAAUAUUGGUCAAUGGACGGAAGUCUGAACCAGCCAAGUAGCGUGCAGGAUGACGGCCCUAUGGGUUGUAAACUGCUUUUGUAUGGGGAUAAAGUUAGGGACGUGUCCCUAUUUGCAGGUACCAUACGAAUAAGGACCGGCUAAUUCCGUGCCAGCAGCCGCGGUAAUACGGAAGGUCCAGGCGUUAUCCGGAUUUAUUGGGUUUAAAGGGAGCGUAGGCUGGAGAUUAAGUGUGUUGUGAAAUGUAGACGCUCAACGUCUGAAUUGCAGCGCAUACUGGUUUCCUUGAGUACGCACAACGUUGGCGGAAUUCGUCGUGUAGCGGUGAAAUGCUUAGAUAUGACGAAGAACUCCGAUUGCGAAGGCAGCUGACGGGAGCGCAACUGACGCUUAAGCUCGAAGGUGCGGGUAUCAAACAGGAUUAGAUACCCUGGUAGUCCGCACAGUAAACGAUGGAUGCCCGCUGUUGGUACCUGGUAUCAGCGGCUAAGCGAAAGCAUUAAGCAUCCC
rnacentral:rRNA from 1 species